rnacentral:rRNA from 1 species
UACAGAGGUCUCGAGCGUUAGGCGGAAUCACUGGGCUUAAAGCGUGUGUAGGCGGAUCGGUAAGUACCUUGUGAAAUCCCUCGGCUUAACCGGGGAACUGCGCUUGAUACUGGAUGGCUUGAGAUUGGGAGAGGGAUGCGGAAUUCCAGGUGUAGCGGUGAAAUGCGUAGAUAUCUGGAGGAACACCGGUGGCGAAGGCGGCAUCCUGGACCAACACUGACGCUGAGUGAGCGAAAGCCAGGGGAGCAAACGGG